rnacentral:lncRNA from 1 species
CUGAAGAUGAGCCUAUGCUUCAUCGAAAGCAACUUAAAACUUCCAAACAGACCAGUUAUUCACCUAAGUAACCUCAACAGGUAGAUGAAAACUGUUUGCUAGUUCGCAGUUAUGCUGCUCUCUGGCUCUCCAGACUUGCACUCCCACAAACCAAGAAAAUGGUGAGCUUUUCUCUUCCAGUUGGAAGAGAGCAGGAGGAAGGCUUGGUUCUAGUAAUACUCAGAGUGCUGUGCAUUCGUUUUGUUUCUAUGACUACAUCUUUUCGAGCCCUUCUGUAGAAGCAGAACUGGCAAAGUGGAAUUAUAAUCAUACCUUUUAUUAGGGGAUAAUUAGCAUAUCUUGCAUAAUUAUUUGAACGGCAUUUUGAAAGGGACAAAUUGUAAAUGCUAGAGUGACAGAGCCUAGAUCUGUGAUAGUACAGAGACAGUGACUAAGGGCUGGACAGAAUUUACCCUUCAGCACUGCUUUGAUUUUUUACCUUAGAAUUUCAUUCUUCAUGGAUUUUUUCAUGGAUUUUUUUUUCCCUAGAGUGGAAAUGUUGUUGUUCUUCAGCUGGAUGUGAAUCACAGUAAGCCAUUCUCAGAAAAGCUUUUCAUGCAAAUCAGUUCUCACUUACCCUCUUGCAUAACACUCAGUGAAGUAAUCAACCUAAAUUUCUUGCAAGACAGGCAUUAUUAUCUUCUUUUAAAUAGUAGGGAGGAUCACUAAGGCAAUAGUAAUUGAGGGUCAUGGGAGUAUCUCGAUAAAUAGAUCACAUAAGCUUUGCUUUUGAUAUGCAAAAAAUACAUUAACAUGCAUAUUGCAGAGUUGCAUAAUACAGUAUUCACCACAAAUUGGGCACUGAUACAGAAUAACCUUCCAUAAACAAAAUGGAAGAGUGAAAAGAAAGACACUCAGAGAACAGAAGACUUGUGAAUGCAUCCCCCUAUUUAAACCUUCUUCAAAGACUAUAACCAAAGUAUAUUGUCUCCUACAGGUCAACUCCCAGUCAGCUCUUUUCUCACUGGUUGGACUGUCUCAGUCAAAAGAUCUCAAGCAAUCCUACAGACCUCCACAGCUUACCUUCCAGAGAUGCUGUCCAAGAAGAUGAGGAAUACCAGCAGUUGAGUGGAGUUCUGGAAGCUUUCUUGUCACUUAACAUUGGGAGAUGUUGGUGCAGAGAGAGGCAGAUGAAAAUGAUCCCGUUUUCACUGUGCCUCUGCUAGCAGAGUGGUGAGGGGGUCAGGUGUGAAGGACAUAUUAGUGGAGGAAUAGCCAAUCCAGUUUAAUACUUGCAGUCUCUAAGAAGAUUAAAGAGUAUUGUAUAGAUUUGGAUCUAUAUCUGAAGCCAAUAUCUUCAUCUGCUACUACAGAUUAUUCUCAGUAUGAGGGCAGGUGCUUAUUUCCAUUACAAACUAUAAUAU